GUCCUUUUGAUAUUUAUUUAAGGUCUAACCUGCCCACUGAUAAUAAUUAAAGGGCCGCAGUAUUUUGACUGUGCAAAGGUAGCAUAAUCAUUAGUUUUUUAAUUGAAAGCUUGUAUGAAAGGUUGGACGAGGUAAGAUCUGUCUCUAUAUAAUUUAAAUUAGAAUUUAAUUUUUAAGUUAAAAAGCUUAAAUUAUUUUAAAAGACGAGAAGACCCUAUAGAUCUUUAUAAAAAGUUAAUUAAUUUUAUUUUAGAUUUUUAUAUCUUUUAUUUAAUUUUUUAUUUUAUUGGGGUAAUAAAAAGAUUUGAAAAAUUCUUUUUUUUUAUUUUCAUUUAUUUAUGUGUUUGUGAUCCAAUUUUUUUGAUUAUAAGAUUAAGUUACCUUAGGGAUAACAGCGUAAUUUUUUUAAAGAGUUCAUAUCGAUAAAAAAGUUUGCGACCUCGAUGUUGGAUUAAAAAUUAUCUUAGGUGUAGAAGUUUAAGAUUUUGGUCUGUUCGACCAUUGAAUUUUUACAUGAUCUGAGUUCAGACCGGUGUAAGCCAGGUCGGUUUCUAUCUUUAUAAAGUUUUAAUAUUUUAGUACGAAAGGACCAAAUAUUAGUUAUAUUUAUAUUUAUUAUUUUUGAAUAU
rnacentral:rRNA from 1 species